rnacentral:rRNA from 1 species
UACAGAGGUCUCGAGCGUUAGGCGGAAUCACUGGGCUUAAAGCGUGUGUAGGCGGAUCGGUAAGUACCUUGUGAAAUCCCACAGCUUAACUGUGGAACUGCUUGGUAUACUGCCAGUCUUGAGCCGGCUAGGGGCUACCGGAACAAAUGGUGGAGCGGUGAAAUGCGUAGAUAUCAUUUGGAACGCCAAUGGUGAAAACAGGUAGCUGGGGCUGUGCUGACGCUGAGACACGAAAGCCAGGGGAGCGAACGGG